rnacentral:rRNA from 1 species
UACGGGGGGGAGCAAGCGUUGUUCGGAUUUACUGGGCGUAAAGGGCGCGUAGGCGGCCACCGCAAGUCGACUGUGAAAUCUCCGGGCUUAACCCGGAAAGGUCAGCCGAUACUGCGGGGCUAGAGUGCAGAAGGGGCAACUGGGAAUCUCGGUGUAGCGGUGAAAUGCGUAGAUAUCGAGAGGAACACCUGCGGCGAAAGCGGCGCACUGGACCAUAACUGACGCUGAUGCGCGAAAGCUAGGGGAGCAAACAGG